rnacentral:tRNA from 1 species
GCCUGGGGGGCUCAAUCGGUUGAGCGUCUGGCUUCGGCUCAGGUGGUGAUCUCGCGGUCCGUGGGUUCGAGCCCCACAUCGGGCU